rnacentral:lncRNA from 1 species
UUGGAAUUUAGGCCACAAGGGUAUUGCAAAAGUAAGGUAAUUAGAUUUCUCAAUAACUGAUUAAGCCAUAAAGGGAGCAAAGGUUUCAUCAGCUGAAUUGUCUUUACCUUGAGAAAAUAAAACAAACUUAUUACACCAAAAAAAUAUUUUCCACUAUAAAAUUAAACUUGUCAGUGGUUUGAAGCAUGUGCAACAGCCAAAUGCACCAGUAACAACAAAUUUUAUAUGCUGUUGUGGGAAAGCCCUCUCUGUCCAUGCUAAUUUUGUAAUUGUGUUAGGCCAUGUCACCAGCGGUACUGCCUGUAACCAUAGAGUCGAGCUAAUUAGACGGCUACGUGCUAAUCAAGUUCACUAAAGUGAGUGGUCACGUCUGUGUCCCUCUGUGCUCCAAGCCUUUCCUUCCCCUUGCAUUAGACUGACACCAAUCACAACUUUUAGAAGCAUCUGAUCAGAUCCAGCACACACUGGUGUGCAACAAAACACAUGUGCUCAGACAUCCAUUUUUUCCUAAACACAUGCAUAUAGAAGUCUAAGUCAAUCAUACACUCUCCAGUAUUCUUCCAUAUGUAGACCAUUGCUAAUAGCCCAACUACAGAUAGACUCUCAUUACAGUCAAACAUGCAUCACAUUGACUAGUCUCCUCCCAUCUACUAUAGAGAAGCCUUGUUAUUGUCAUUGCAUUGUGGAUUUGAAGCUUCAGGCAACACGGACAAGAAAAGCAUAUCUACACCCAUGCUGGCUCACUCCUAAUGGCCCCAGCCAUAAUGUAUCACUAUGACUUAUACAACCUAUGUAUGACAAAUCUGUUUUAUGGGAACACUACUCAUUAGCAAUUAAUACCUUGACUGAAAUCGGCCACAAGUUGAGACAAUGGAAUUAAGCAAAGCAGACAGGAAGUGCAUGAAAUCACCUCAGCUGUGUCUGUCUGUGUAUGUUUUUCUGAUGGUGUCAAGUCCAUCCAUCUCACAAGCUGAGCUGCAUUAAUGUCUAGAAAGAAAAAACGCUAAUUCUCCAUAACCAUUUUACGGCGUGUGUAAAACUCUGCAGCCCCUUCAUUUGCACAGCUGUAAAACAUUUUCCCUGCCACACUCCUUCCUGCUCCAGACCUCAGCUUUAUCAAUUAACCUAACACUUUGCUUCCAUUAGGGUAGCAUUUUGCACUGUGAGGCCUGCAUACAGAGUAACAAUAAGGGCCAUGUGCACAUGGUAUGAUAUGAAACUGACAAGCUCAAUUAAAUGGGAAGUAAUCAUUUUUUUGUGAGAAUUAAUGACAUUAGAUUUUAUUAUUUAUAUUUAAUGCACUAGGACCUCUCUGGACCAGAUUGAGUCGGGUCACUUCCAGGCCAUUUUUUUCCACUAUGUGAAUUUAUGUCAAGCUCCUGUUGACAGCUGAUUAAAAAAAAAACAGUGGAGGCAAUUUGUCAUUCAAAACAGUCAAGAUUGAUUUCUUCACUUCCAACAACAACCUUAUGGCCCACUAAAACUUAAGGUCUUUCUAAAACAUUUGCUUUGGUACUUGAGUUGAAAAAGAAAACAAUCACAAAAAAAGAACCAACACCAACCAACAUCUCAGAUUGUACAUUUGGUUGGUAAUACAGCUUUUCUAAUAUAUCAGUAUAACAGCAUGAAAAGAGGACAAGGGAAUUAGUGUUAUAGUCUUCCAUGCAAAUACCUUAAGUGAGUAAGUGUAACGCUUAACAGUAUUUUGUGUGUAAUAGGAGGCUAGCAUAUCAGUAGUGAUGCAUCUUGUUUCAUCUGGGCCUCUGUGGGUCUACACACAAGUAUUUAUGAAUUCAAAACAAAAACUGAGUGGGAGGCUUUAAUUCAGAAAAUAUACCACCUAUCUAAAUGAAACCAUUAACCUCUCAUCUAAUAAAUAGCAUUUACAAAUUGUUAUAGAUUUAAUCCAGAUAGAAGAGAGACAACUAAAACAAUCUAACCAGAAAAUCGACGAUACCUACUGUAUAAAAAUGAGUUGUCUUUUAUGGUAAUUUAAAGCCGAGACUGGAUUCCUUUGAGAUUUAUUCAGAUAGUUUCCUCUUGGUAUACACAUGGAUGUAAGAGAAAGCAGGCAGACAAGCAGGAUAAGGAUGUCUGUGCUUUUAAUGGACCGCCUGUCCCUGUGAAGAUAUGCUCCAGUGAACCAUACAGUAUGUAGUGUGGUAUAAUCACUGCCCAUCUCUAUCUCUAUCUCCUGCCAUCACUCUCUCCUUCUCUUGCUGUCUUGUUUAUUUGCAAACUUGUUCUCUUUUUCUCUAUCUUCUUCAUCUGCUGGUACCUGGCUGCAACUUUUUAAUGCCCCCCGCUGCUUUUCUUCACAGACUGUGUUGUUUUCUGCACGUGUCUGUGUGAGGGUGAGCAUGUGCUAUCAAAUAGUUGAAUAAUACACUUACUCACACACGCACACACAGACAGGCUUGAGGAACAUGACAGCCCUCUCAUAUAGCAGUGUGUUGGUGAUAGAAGUAAACUCUGGCUGUGAAAUGUAAAUGAAUGUGAUAAAUCUGCUGUGUAGAUGGACACAGAGGAUAGAGCAGACAGCAGACGUCGACCUACAUGUGUGUUUUUCUGUCAAAAAGAGCAAAAGUACAUUUUCAAAGAGGAGGCGGUAGGUGUGUUUUAAAUCUUGUGCCUUGUCUAAUUCCUUUUGCAUUUUACAUGUUUUGUUUCUUCCGGUUUUAACUCUUAUCAGAAUUAGUAAUAAUUUCCAAAAUGAUGUCCGUUUAUUCUUUUGGCUGCUCAUCUUAUAACCUCUAUCUCUUCUGUUUAUCUAUCCAUCUGCCUCUGCGUGUCUAUUGGUCCGUCUGUUGGUCUGUCUGAGUCUUCACCCCCCUCUGUCCGUUUGUUAAUGUGAAUAUGAAGGCCACUCCUUUACCUCUGUUAUUAGAUGGUUGAUAUAUAUGCAUGCCUGUGUGUCUUAUUGCAAGCUUAUAUGCUCAGCCAACACAGGGAGCAUGUGUGGGGGGGUUGGGGCUGGUUUGCUCUGGAAGGGGAAGCAAUCACAAACACUUAAACCUGCAAAUGGCCUUGAUGUCCUGUGCUAAGCAGUCUGUGUUGACUGAUGAGCCUGUUAACCCUGGCUGAAACAACUCCAGCACGGGGGAUUAGACAGCAGCGUUGGUGCCGGCUGUUCCUUGCCCGUUUUGCAUGGGAAUUGUGCAUAUUUAAUCUAAGGUGUGCCGAGGUGCAAAGACAAGCCCCCCUCGUCUCCGUUUCUCAUUAUAGAUAUGUAAUAGCACCCUGAGGCUGGGGGCCUUAAUUCACCAGCCCCAGCCCUAGUCUUAAUCUUAUCCCGAGUCUCAGCCCCCACCUUCCUGGAGCGUGUAUUCUCAAUCCAAAUCAGUGGAAGUCCUAGUCUUCUUCCCAGGCUUUGUGUCACCCAGUCCUUUCCUGAUAUUGUAUAUGAGUUUAAGACCUAAAAGUCUGGUCCAAAGCCUUUUUAACCCCCUGAGUGGGUGUGCAAACUAACAGCAGCUAGUGUCAUAACAUUGCAAAGGGUGUGUGGAUGGAAUGUGGCAGGUCCCCAUUUUUAACAUUUAAUCUGUUAUAGCGUUGUUUAAAUCAUUUUCUUGCUCAGCCCUAUCUUCACACCAAUCAUGCCCCAGAAUCACACACAAUGACCAAUGGGCUCCCCUAGUACACUGUCCCUGUUUAACCACAUUAAACUAGGAUUGUCUGGAGCUAAGAUGGCAGUUAUGGCAGAACAUGGACAAUCCAAUUGUUCUGAAAAGUGAAUAAAGUGUAACAGGUAGCAGGGGUAGCCCUGACAUCAUUUUUUGUUCUUUUGUGGGUUUAAAGAUGUGUGAGGUGUGAGUCCUUAUGCUGUGUUCCAGUUACACCAGAAGUCGGAUGUCGGAGCUCGGAAUGUUGUUACACCCAAGUUGAUGGCGUACCAGUUAACAAGUCAGAAAACCAAGACGGACGCCUACAGUUAGCUGUUGCUUACAAUUGUCAGCUGUCGUUAGCUGUUGUCAGCUGUUGUUAGUUGUUGUUAGUUAUACCAGUUGUAAACAACGCACAACACAGUAUUUUACUCUACAAACACCGUAGCAGUACAACAUAUGGUAGGGCUGUAAGUGGUAGGGUAACGGUAGUGGUAGGGUAAAUGGUAGGGUAGGGCAGUGAGAGGGUAAAUGGUAGGGUAGGGCAGUACAACAUAUACCACUUAUUUAAUUUCACCGAAACAAAACAGAAGUGCGAAUAAAUACUACAUUACGAGAGCUUUCACUGUUACUCUUUACUGUUGAUACACUGCGCUGCCAUCUUAUAUUAUGACAUUGUCGUCAAGUCAGGGUUGGUUAGGAUCGUCCGACUCUUCGUUUCAGGGGGCGUUCCAGAUGAAUUUCCGACUCGGAGCUCAGAAAUCCCAA